rnacentral:lncRNA from 1 species
UAGGUACAUAAUUGAAUUUAUAUUGAACACCGUAUUUAGAUAGUUACCUGAGUAUUUCACAUCCCAUUUCAUGCAUUAGUAUAGAGCCUGAAUUGGUUUUAUAACAAUUUAGCACAAAUGUAGUAAAUGGCUUAUUGUGCAUUAUGUCUAGGUGGUGAGCAUUUUGGCAAAAGUAAAGAGAUAGUACUCGAGGAUCAAGAAUCGGAGUACUUGAAAUUCGACUCCUGAAAUAGUGAGUAACCUUACUAUCAUCUUAAUUAUCUAAAGUGGUUUUUAUUCGAUUUUGUGAUUUUAUGGAAAAUGAGUUUAAAUGGUAAAUCUUUAUGUUUUAUAAACAAAAUGUGUUUAAAUGAAAUGAUUUUAUAAAUUAUCUUGAAAUUGAAUGAUGGCUUUGAAAAUAGAGUAAUUGGAGACCAUUUGAUGUAUUGUGAAUUUAUGGUUUUAAUUGAUUGGCUUAUGGCAAUAUUGGCAUGAAUGGCUGAAUUGGUAUUUGUGUUGAAAAUGUAUAAACAGUUGUUUGCCUUGAUAGGCUGGAUAAUGAUAAAAUUGGCAUGUCAUGCUGUUAAAUUUUAUUGAAUUUGUGGGUUAUUGAUUAGUUGCUGCAGUAGCCGGGUUCGGUGGACCAGCCUAUUAGAAGGGCACAGUAACCCUAUUAUAUUCAUAACUCAGUAUGAGAGGCGCGGUUGGAUAACUCCUGAGGUUAAAACUUUAGAGUUCACUUCACGCUAAACCACCACGUGAGAGUGAACUCAGCCAACACCAAGGAAUGGCUAUGUUUUCAAAAUAAAAACAUGAUUUAUGUGUACAUGACUUUUUACAGCCUUGGCGGACUCGGUUGGGAUAGCCCUCGACCAAGGUAUCCCUUAUAACUGAGUAUGAGAAUGAUUUUGGCACGAGCCAAAGUUUUAAGAAAUUCAUAAGUCAUGUUGAAUACUCAAUUUAUAUGAAUUGAUUUUAUUUGGUUGAAAUGAGUUGAAAGGUGAUGAAUUAUAGUAUGAUAAUCUAUUUUAAUCUGUCUCCAUUUACUCAGCUUUAGAUAUUUUAGAUGGUAUUUGUUUACUCAAUGGGAUUAUAUAAUCUCACCACCCUCCUUUCCACCCAUUUCAGGCUCAGGAUAGUCGGUAGAUAGCUCACUUUGUUGAGGGCUACAGUUGGACUUGCAUCCUCAAAAACUAUAGGUUUAUCGCUUUUGAUACUUUUGGU